rnacentral:misc_RNA from 1 species
GUUGAGUUGAGUUGAGUAUAGUAUUAUCCUUGCACAAUUAGAGCUUUAUGCCCCUCAUGAGAAUAUUCGGGCUUUGGCACUGACAACACCCAAUUCUGUCCUUCUAUAAUUGCAGAAGGGGUCAAAUCUAUAAUUUUAAAAAUUAAAUAUGGGUAAUAAAUAUAAUGGUAAUUACUUGAUUAUUGAUUAAUGCUCAAAGUUGGCUGCUCUUUGUUCAUGAAAAGGUUGUAUUGAGAAUUAAAUUUUCAGCGUAUUAUUCUUGCACAAUUAGAGCGUUAUGCCCCUCCUGGUUAGAAUAUUCUGGCUUCAGCACUGACGACACCCAAUUCUGUCCUUUUAUAAUUGCAGAAAAUGAUUCACUGGUCCUUAGGUUGUCAACCUUUCACUUUUGAUAUAAAAAAAUUUGGCCAUAUUUGACAACAAUGCCCAUGCAAUUUAUUAGCUUUUUGAUGAUGCUAGUUUACAUGAUUGAGUAUUUUGGCAGGAGGAAGAACUAAAAGGUGCUG